rnacentral:lncRNA from 1 species
AGUGAAGAGUCAAAACAAUGAAAAACGGGAAAAAAGAAAAAAGAGAAACCAAUUCUCAGUUAUUGUGAGAUAGCGAAAAGCAAAAGCCCUUCUUUUUUACGAGACAAGAGAACAGAGAAUCAAUUGAUGGGAUAUAUCACCAUCUGAUAUCUGAUAAACGGGUUUAAUGCUAUCCAUGCUAUCUUAUGCGCUACAAGCAAAAGCCAUUAUAAUAUCAGGGUCUCAUUUAUUUAUAUUAGACCCUUUAAAUGGACUGCCACCACAGGUCACAGACAGGUUUCCGUCAAAACGAAUAAAUAAAAAUAGGCAACUAAAGCUGUAGCUCUGGAGAGGGAAGGACUUAAAGGGCAAUAAAUUUAUGUGUAGCAACUUAUAUAGAAGGUGGCAGUGGAUACAAUACAAGUUUGCAGAAAUGGGAAUUGGCAAAUAAGCAGAGACAUACCUUGUUUAGGUAUACCUCUUAAAAUGAUGAGCAAUCCUUCUCUUCUUUCUUGCAAACUGCAAAAUAAACUCUUGACGUUUAAAAAUUAUAUAUUAUACAAAAUCUCUCUUGGUCAAUGCUCUUUCUAUGAGCCUUGGAAACGCAAGAUGCACAAGUGGCUGACUGAUGAUAAGUUUACUUAUUGUUGCACAUAAAUACUGUGCUAUCCUAUUUUUC